UCAUGAUUUUAUUUUAGUUUCAAAUGCCUUAAACUUGAAGUGUUCACAGAAUCUCAGUUUAAUAGAGAGCAAAGUGAUGAGAAUUGGUAUGGAAGUGACUUUAAAGUAAAUGUAAUGUGCUAAAACACACAACACAUGACGUCAAAAUGUUUAUCAUCACUAGAAAAAUGAAAACUUAUGCACAAUCCCUUUCAAAAUUAUUAUACAUUGACAUCUUAAUGUGGUUUUAUAUUAAAAUGUAUCACAAGGCCAAAUAUCAAAUAUUUGAACCCAUCUAUAGUUUGGGAUUAUUGAAACAUUUCCUUCCUUUCAUGGUCAUGGAAAAUUGAGAGUUGGCUAAACAGCCUCUACAGCAGGAGAGGGGAUGACCAGGAAGAUGGGUAUGCUGUCGGAACCUGUAAACCAGAAGCCCGGGAAGGGGUGAGAGGCCAUUAGCACCAAAGGAAGUAAUUAAUUAUCAAUGUGUCCAGAGAGAUAAUCUAUUAUAAGUAGCCCUAUUAAAAUAUAAAGGGAAAAUAUAGGUCCUUAAAAAAAGACAGUAUGUUCAUGCUGGAGGGUGAAAAUGAAUAGGAACUUUUAUUAUUAAACUAAUAUACCAUUUGAUUAAAAAGUGAGCUAUGUAAGCUUUAAUAAGAUAAGAAAGAUGAAGUCGGUAAAAAUAUUCUUGAAUUAGCUAAGUGAGGAUUCUUUCCUUUCAAAAUUUUUCAACAGGGAAAAGGCUAAGGGAAAAUGUGUGGGCAAUUGUGAAGCUCACAGAGGCCAUCCCGGAGGCUGUGUGAGAGCAGGGGCCUCCUCCAAAAGCAGCACCCUCAGGCACAUUUGGAAGUGAGGUUGGGGAGAAGUAGAAAAAAAAUCAGAAUGUGGUUGUGCCACCUUUCCUUAGUUCCCUUUCCAGAUGAUCUUCCCCAGGUCAUUAUUCUUAUUCCUGAAGGUUUCUUUCUUUCCCUAUCCCCACCUCCCAGACUUGCUUCUGUUUCCUUCCCAGCCCUCUCUGAUCCUCUCUCCCUCCAUUUCUAGUGAAACAUUUUGUGUUGUUGCUUUAUUUUUGCUGUUGGAGGAAUUACUCCUGGGACAGUGUCUAUGAAUCAGAAUUCUAGAGCAUUAACUAAUUUCUUACUAUUGAUAGUUUUGUUUUAUUCAAACAAUCUAAUGGUCUUUCCUUGCAGCCAUUUGAUUAGAUUCUGAAGGGCCCUUGGCUGAGCCAUCUGGGCAGGGCCACCCCAGCAGGCCCUGUGCUGCAUCUGAGAUUCCUCACCAUUCUGGGGCUUUUCAGAACCAAAUGGUGAGAAUGACAAAGCUCAAAGACAAAAACACGAUGCAGGUGAGCUCUGUUGAAGAAAGGUCCUUAGACACUGAAAACGACACCACGAAAGUAAUAAUGAAGAAAGGGAUACAUGGAUUCCUAGCUAAGAAGGAAUGUACAAGCUCUUGGUGCUAAGGGACAGCAAGAUUCCAGCAUAAAAGACAAUUUUUUAAAAAAAGAGACAGCAAGGAGGUCAGAUUCUUUUUGGUAAUUUUAAAAAUAGUAUUUUUUUUAACUUUGAGAUUUGUGUUGUCCUUAAGCCAAAUGUGCCCAUGACUUUUUUAUUCACAAACACAAAUUAUUGAGAAAUGUAUUUAUACCUUUCCUGGCUGCAAAUCAGGACUUGAGGAGACUGACAGACACAUACAGCAUCUGAUGAGAUCAAGGCAACCAAACGCGAGGCAAUAGAAGGCAGGGCAGGUGGGCACAGUGGGAAUCCUGAGCGAGGCAUGGCCCCUUACAAGGCACCCAGGGCACAUGGUCCUCGGGAAGUGGCCACUCACUCGGAGCAGCCCUGCGUGGCUGGUGGACAGUGGCCUCCGCAAGAACGUGGCUGAUGGACAGUGACCUCAGGAAUGUCUUCCCCUCCCUGUAGGAGGCCCUCCUUGUCUUCCCAUCCCUACAGGAGGCACUCCCAACACCUUCACUCAGAACAUACCCUGGGCUGCCACCGAGAGCCAGGAGCUGCAAAUGCAAGAGUCAAGAAGCAGAAAGGACAGGCUCAGCCCUCCUGGAGCUUCCUGUCCAGGACGGAAACAGGUCACGAGUGUGCCAGGGAGUGGACACUCCCGUGUGACUGCCACGUGCCCAAAGAGGACAGGAAGCAGCGAGAGGAACCACGGACUCACGGAGAACCAUAGGAGAGGGAGGCUGGUGGGGGUUAUCUGGGGAAGUAUGUCCCAGGGACUGGCAACCCUGUGGGCCUGGGUAGAAGGAGGGAGGGAGGCUGUAGACUGUGAUGCCAGGGAAGUGGGGGUGGGGCUGGGGCUUGGGCGGGACCCCGGUUUCUGACCCUAAGCCAUCCAAGGACCCUGGAGGUCUUGGGCCCCAAGGAAGGAGCCCUGACUUACUGGGAAGGGUUGAGAAUGGGCUGUACGGGCCAGGCCCGGAUGGAGCAGGGAGGCCGGGGGAGUAGGGUGCCUCAUGCAAGUGUGGGAGGCGCUGCCCAUCACGGGGCCUUGGCCAUGGGGAUGAUGAGAAAUGGCUGGGUUGGGUUUCCUUUGACGUUUUGAGUAGAAGAUGCUGAGCUUAAAUCAUGAACCCUGGAGCACUGCUCUGGUUCUGGGGCAUGGAGAGGAGGUAAGAUGUCACGCCAGGGCAUGGAGGGGAGGUGAGACGCCGCGCCCGGGCACGGAGGGGAGGUGAGACGCCGUGCCGGGGCAUCAAUGGGAGGUAACGCAUGUGCAGAGGCCACGCUGGGCUUCACCAGCAGCUGGUCAGAAGAGGCUGCCCUUCUUUGGGGCUUGUUAGCACCCGCUCUUUCCUCUCCGCGCGCAUAGUGUCCAAACUUGUCUACAUUCACUUCCCAUGUUCCGUGCAUGGUAGAUGGCCUUUAAAAAGAGUAUCUCAAAUAAGUCUUUAUUCGUGUUUUGUUGGGUCUCACUCUGUGUUUUCAUGAACUCCGGCCCCAGCCAUGGCACCUGCAGACUGCAUUGUAGGCCUUCCAGCCAGCCUCCUCGCUGGGGGCAUUCCAUAGCUCUUGUGUCUUACACGAAAACACCCGGGUGGCAGGUCCAUAUCCUGGAGCUGCCCACCCCUCCCCAGGCUCAGGCUAGACUCUGCUGCAGACUUUGGGACCAGGAAGGGGAGGGGCCGGUCUCAAUGCAAAGGCUGACC
rnacentral:lncRNA from 10 species